rnacentral:rRNA from 1 species
AUUGAACGCUGGCGGCAGGCCUAACACCUGCAAGUCGAACGAGUGGCGGACGGGUGAGUAAUGUCUGGGAAACUGCCUGAUGGAGGGGGAUAACUACUGGAAACGGUAGCUAAUACCGCAUACCAUCAGAUGUGCCCAGAUGGGAUGAGCUUGGUGGUGGGGUAACGGCUCACCACGGCGACGAUCCCUAGCUGGUCUGAGAGGAUGACCAGCCACACUGGGACUGAGACACGGUCCAGACUCAUACGGGAGUCAGCAGUGGGGAAGAGUGCACAAUGGGCGCAAGCCUGACGCAGCCAUGCCGCGUGUAUGAAGAAGGCCUUCGGGUUGUAAAGUACUUUCAGCGGGGAGGCGUUACCGGCAGAAGAAGCCCCGGCUAACUCCGUGCCAGCCGCCGCGGUAAUUC